rnacentral:rRNA from 1 species
UACGGAGGAUCCGAGCGUUAUCCGGAUUUAUUGGGUUUAAAGGGAGCGUAGGCGGGUUGUUAAGUCAGCUGUGAAAGUUUGCGGCUCAACCGUAAAAUUGCAGUUGAUACUGGCAUCCUUGAGUACAGUAGAGGUAGGCGGAAUUCGUGGUGUAGCGGUGAAAUGCUUAGAUAUCACGAAGGACUCCGAUUGCGAAGGCAGCCUGCUGGACUGUAACUGACGCUGAUGCUCGAAAGUGUGGGUAUCAAACAGG